UGUGUAGGCGGUUGUUUAAGUUUGGUGUGAAAUCUCCCGGCUCAACUGGGAGGGUGCGCCGAAUACUGAAUGACUUCGAGUGCGGGAGAGGAAAGCGGAAUUCCUGGUGUAGCGGUGAAAUGCGUAGAUAUCAGGAGGAACACCGGUGGUGUAGACGGCUUUCUGGACCGUAACUGACGCUGAGACACGAAAGCGUGGGUAGCAAACAGGAUUAGAUACCCUGGUAGUCCACGCCCUAAACGAUGCAUAUUUGGUGUGGGCAGUUCAUUCUGUCCGUGCCGGAGCUAACGCGUUAAAUAUGCCGCCUGGGGAGUACAGUCGCAAGGCUGAA
rnacentral:rRNA from 1 species